UGCACCAAUUAUAUGGAUGCCAACCGCCGUUAAAAAAGAAGAAGAAGAAGAGAGAAGCCCCGCUCCCUUUUACGCGCACGGCCCUAACGUGUGUGUGCGGAGCGAGCAAAGAUUUCACGGUCGUUGCGGCAAGGACAGCUUCUCAUUGUCUGAUGAAACAAACGUGAAUCUUCGGGCGUAGCUCCGCGAGCAAGUAGCUAACCGGAGCUGGUUAGCUGGAUGCUAGGAAACUCAAAUCAGGUUGAGGGAGCAGCAGCUGGACCAUCAGAGCUUCAGGUGAGGUGUUACAUUGAUUCUGUGUUGACAUUGUUAAUAUCGCCUACCUGUUUAAUGUGAAUUAUUAUUAUAAUAAUGUUAAAACAUGCAUGUGCAGGCUAGGCUACGUUUCCUUUGCUCUUUAGGGAACAGUCUGGCCACAGUGACCGUCAGCAACUUCAGCAUAAGAAGUUACUGUUUCAGGCAAAGUGGUGGAGUCGGUAUCCAUGGCUGCAUUAUUAUAUAGCACUCUUUGUUUUGAGUAGGAUAUACAAUAUAUACUGUGACUGUCUUUUGGCAUUUUAGCAGAACUUUUCUUAUUUGGUGCAGAAUACGGUUUUGUAUUUAAACUAAGGUUUGAUAACAGUAAUUUAGUUUAAAUCAGUUUAAAGAGACUGAGACUGUACUUCAAGCAACAUCAACGGUUUUCACUUGUUUUUUUUGAUUGAGAAAGUACUGGUAUUUUUCCAAAUAUGAUGUGACUCGGUAGUUUAAUUAUUUGUUGUGUCAGUCCUUGAAGUUCAGGCAGGUUGUGCCUUUAAAGCCCCCUGGCUUGCAUUUGCAUUACAUUGAUCUGGAAAACGAUAACUCAUAAAAACACCUUUAGUGGCCUUGCAGUGGAUGAACAGCCAGCAGCAACACGGCAUCGUUCUUUUGUUGCUAUUCUUUGGCGUGCUGGUGGCAGUAAUAACUUGUGGAACUAUGUGUGAUGAAGAGGAGGAGUUGCAAGCUGUUGGAUCUUCCACAAGGCAGCCUGGAGGAGAGGCUGUAGAGGGACAACGCUCUACUCCAGAAAUGCUGGAGAAGCCAGCGAGCCAAGAGAGCCAGCAGACGUGUGGCGAGCGGGGGCUGGCGGAGGCCUCCAGGAUCACUGGGAAGCUGGCGGUUGAAUAACGGCCAGAAAAACCUCCUUCUUUUUGUUAUUUCCUUCUAAAAUGUUUGUGACUAGUUCAUAUACACUGGGGUGGUAACACGCAGGCCGUCUACUAUAAUGAAGCACACCAUUCACUAGGAAGCAGAUGGCAGAAAAAUGUGUUGACACUGUCUAUAGUGCAUUAUUAACAUACUCGGUAUGUGUUUUAAUCUGCGUACAUGCAUUAUGAUGUGUAUGAUAUUCCUUUAUUUGUCCCACACUGGGGACAUUUCAAAAAUCACAGCAGCGGUGCACAUCAGAGCAUCAAUGAAAAUAAAUAUAAAACAAAAUACUAAUACUAAAUAUGCAGGGGGAAAAUAAAGUAAAGUGCUGAGUAAAGUAAAGUGCCGAGUUUGCCAGGAUCGCCAGCGAUCUACUGCAGUGUGUUGUGCAGCCUGACAGCAGCAGGAAGGAAGGACUUGUGCCACCUCUCCCUCAGACACCGGGGAGGAAUCAGCCGGUGGCUGAAGGAGCUGUGCAGAGCUGAGAGUGUCAUGCAUGGGGUGGGAGGCGUGGUUCAUCAGAGACGAGAGCUUUGCCAUCAUCCUCCCGUCCCCCACCACCUCCACAGUAUCCAGAGGACACCCAGCACGCUGCUGGCCUUCUUUAGCAGCUUGUUCAGCCUCUUCCUGUCAGCCGCUGCCAUGCUGCUGCUGCUGCUCCAGAAGACCACUCCAUUAAAAAAAAGCCUCUAUUUUUAGCAUCUUGGGCUCAAAUAUCCCUCUGGACACAGGUUCAAGUCUCAUCCACACAUCAAUGAUGAAUAGAUCAAGAAAAGUGUAUCCCACUAUGCUGCUUACUGAUUGUAACUAUAUUGUAGUGGCAGACAUAUUAUAUAAGCACUUGACUUAUUUAGGGCCUUAUUUAACCUAUUAUGUUACAGCGUUCUUACCUGUGAACAUUUUAUUUGCAAUUACUUCAAUUAAAUAAUAAUAGUGUUUCACUAUAAUGGAUCACAUAUUAAUGAGACAUGUAGACAUUAAUCCAUGAAAUAUAUUUAUUAACCACGACAUGGACAGUUAAUAUUCAACACAGAGCGCAUAGUGCACGGUCACACAAACACAAAUAUCUAAAACCAAUAUAACUAAUUUAAUAAAAAUGAGAAAAGUUAUAUACAUUCACAUAUACAUACAUACAUUUUUUCUAUUGAGAAUACAUCCACUGCCCUCCUAAUAAAAAUAAAUAUGGUUGAAAUUCAGUUUCUACUCACUAAUGCUGAAGUCUCGUCCACCACUUUGUCUGUUUGAUGGUUACCUGGAUCUGUCUGAGGCCCGCGGUUCAUACUGGGAUUCACGUCUGGUUUUACAGCUCAAUCUGCAGGAGGGCAUGGAGCAAACUGAAACAGCUUGAGUGGUGCUACUGAGGAUGACUGGGCAGUGGGCUUUGAGGAGGUGGAUUGGUCUUGGUCCUGUGCUGGUCCCAGUCCAGAGGAACUUGACGGCUGCAGGCCAAACCUCUCCGUCUCUACUAGAGAAAUGAAAAGCUGGACACUGGAUGUGUCCCAACACCUGUUCCGAGACUACCUCGAGCUGGGCCAUUAAUGCAGGAUCAGAGACAGCUGAAGUGAACACCAGGCUGCUUCAAGUCCACCAGGCUGCUUCAAGUCUGUGGUGGAAAUAAGUGUCCUUUACCUUGUGAGAAAUCAAAAGUAGUUUAAGCAUGGUUGACCCAUAACACUUUAUUAUAGUAACAAGUUUACAAGUCAUCAACCAAGCACUAAAUACAAACAAGUCAUGAAAACAUUCAGCUGAAUGGAGCAGAAUCCCUGAGCCUUCUCUCAAGACCGUCAGAAAUAACUGCUGCCUCCUCAGUGCAAGACUGCAACCUUUAUAGAUCUCAGAGACAAUCCACAUUCCCAAAGUCUGUCUGUUUCCUAUCAGAGGAAGUGAAGACCCCUGAAGGCUCUGUUUAUUCUGCACCCCCACAACCAAGUGACCAUUUGAGUGACCUUUCCGGUUUGGUCAUUACCUCAAGUCAUCGGUUUGUGACCUUUUCACAUGACCCCACACAGGAUUAGAUUACCCCCCAUAAACAUUUGGGAGAGAGAACUGUUAACACAUUUUCUCCCCCGACAAAGUCCACCAGGCUGCUUCAAGUCCACCUUGCCACCCGGUCAUCUCCUGAUCUUAUAGCAGCUCUGAGGAAACGUAUGUUGCAGUGACCCACAGUGGCUGGUGGAAGUAAUUACCCUCCUGCUGGGGUGUGCCUCUGAUGGGGAUCAUAUUUUGACAAUACACAGAAACGACUGUUAGUAAAGGACAUAUCUUUACUUCACCUGCUUUUAUCAGCCAAAUCCAAUGAAACUGACGGUUUCUCACAUCAUUAUAUAAAGAAUAUACUUCAUACAGAUGUGUUUAUGUUGUAUGUCUCUGCAGUACAUGGGGGACCGUGUCCAUGGUGCAGGAGGUGCUAUUGUAGUUUCUCCAUCGGGACAGUGGGCAGCCACCUUUACCACAGUGCGGAUGGCUUGGGCAGCAGUGGAUCAUGAUGGUCUGUGGUAUGGAUUAGAGCAGACAUGGGCAAACUAUGGCCCGCGGGCCACAUCCGGCCCGUUAGGCUUUGUAAUCCGGCCCGCCGAACUUGUCCAAAUCGCGACUUUGUUUACUUCCGGUGUGCGUUGGCGCGGAAAGUACUCGUCACACAAAACCCUUCACCAUGAUUUGUCAAUCCGUUUGUCUGUCAACAUUUUGCGGAAAAACCCCCCCAAUGAACACUCAGUAAAUCACAAGGGACCCGCCCACCACACAGGUGAAGCUCAUUUAGAAACAGCUGCAGUGUUUUUGGCGAGCAGCGCGGAACCUGGAGGGGCUACAGAGCCACGAGGAGGAACACGCAGCCAGAAGAGGUCCACUUGGACCGGGUAAGAGUCUUUACUACACGUUACGUGUCACGGUGUCCGUAACUUGUGCGCGGUGCUGACUAGUCUUGUAUUUUACAGAGAGGAUUCACCAGCGCCUACAGCGCAGCCUGCCCGGCCAGCAGAGAGGUCUCGUGACACGAUGACAUGAUGUUAUUAUAGUGAAGCCAUAUUGUAAAUAGUCAAUAGUUGUGUUCUGUUUUCUAUUUCACAACAUGUAUAUAAUGUAGUUUUUAUUUAUUUAUGUACAAUACAUAUUUAUAAAAAAAAUAAAAUAAUGGUCAUUUUUUAUUUGCACACACCCCAUGAAACUAUCUGCAAUAUGAAGUCAUUUGUCAGUCCCAUCUUUAUCAUUUUGGUUUAUGUGUGACAGACCACAUCAUUUUUACAAAAAAAACGUCAAUACAAAAUGUGGUUUUCCUCAUUUAUUCAAUUCAGUUUAUUUGUAGAGCCCAAUUUCACAAAUUACAAAUUUGUCUCGGAGUGCUUUACAAUCUGUGCAUAUAGACAUCCCUGACCUUUGACCUCACAUCGGAUCAGGAACAACAGAGGAGGAUCCCUCUCCAGGAUGGACAGCUGCAAUUACAUGUAUCUAGCAUUGUAUUCAGAUAUUUCACUGCUUUUGAGAACCUAUGACCUUUGGUAAACCAAUUUCAAACACCAAAACAGUUCGUCCACAUGAGUAAAGGUGUGUUUUCAGAAGAGAUAUGAAUAAUUUUUAAAAAUCGAACUACAAUUGUCAGCUUUAGGGUCAUAUUUUCUCGAGUAAAGCGCUGUCAGUCUGUUUGUGACGGGUUCAUACACAUGCUGACCAGAUGACGCCACACAUCGCCCUGACUUUAAAGACCCCUUUCUAGUUUCUGCUGCAGGCCGGAUAUUUAAUACAGUAUCUCUCAGGACAAUCCGUCCAUUAUUUUGCGGGGUUUAAAACAAUUAGAAAUUAUUGAGCUUGAGUAUUUCGUUGGGUAAUUCAAUUCAAUUCAAUUCAGUUUAUUUGUAUAGCCCAAUUUCACAAAUUACAAAUUUGUCUCGGAGUGCUUUACAAUCUGUACACAUAGACAUCCCUGCCCCAAAACCUCACAUCGGACCAGGAAAAACUCCCAAAUAACCCUUCAGGGGAAAAAAAAAGGGAAGAAACCUUCAGGAGAGCAACAGAGGAGGAUCCCUCUCCAUGGACAGAUGCAAUAAUAAUAAUUUGUUUUGAAUGUUGAAAGUGAUUCCAUUGAUCUCUUUCCAGUAAAUGUUGAUUACUUUAACUUUGCACCUUAAAUUGAAAUGUAUAAAAAACAGACGCAAUCUCCAGGUUUAAUAAAUUACAUUGCGUGUCCAAAUGCUCCUGGCCCGGCCCCUCUGUCAGAUUUCAGAACCGAAUGUGGCCCGCAGGUCAAAAAGUUUGCCCACCCCUGGAUUAGAGCCAAAUGAAAGGCUAAAAUAGCAGUUAUCCAAAUUUCAGCAGUUUUAUUCCUCAAAUAUUCCAUCAUAGAGGAAAUGGUAUUUCUUGUUGGUACGUCUCAAGAGCUGUGAUUGAGCAGUUAGUCCAUUUAACAUGAAAUGUUAAUCAGCUCAGAUUUGUAAAA